CAGCUGACCAGUGAGAGCACCAGGGCUGACGUUGUGGUUGCUACAAGCGACUUCGGAUCUCACAACCUGUACCACAAGGCUCAAGACUGGGAGAGAUUGUGUCACCUGGUGGAGCCAGAUUCUUUCCCAUUAGACUUACCUCUCCUCUAUAUCUCAGUUGCAACCCAGGAGGCAAUUGAGAGAUAAGACAAUCUCCUCUCGGCCCAGGUCUUAGCUCCCAGGUGGUCAACGCUGACCUAAUGAUGGAGUGCACCUUGAAGUCAAAGGAAGCAUAAACGCAAUCAAGUGAAGGACUUCCAGGAAUUGAUCUCCAGAGGUAACCUUUUAAAGUUAGAGUUUUUCUCUGUCUCCAGAAUUAGUAGACAGAGAAAGCAAACUUUCCUUCUCACCUAUUGUCUGCCCUGCAGGGAGGGAUAUUGCUACUACUCCUAGGACGGCUCCAGUAUCAAACACCCCUUGCUCAUUUUGUCUUUUAGAUCACCAGGAAGAGUUAAUGAGUAAGGCCUAACAGGAAAGGCAUUUCCUCUUGGAUAAGGGAAGGUUUGAGAACAAGGGUCUCCCCUUCCUCCCAACCCCCACCCCGUUACUGGUUUUCUGAGUCCUCAGCCCAGUCUGUUUGUCAGCCUCAGAGGCCAUGGAUGCUGUGGUGGGAAUAGUAAGAUAUUUCCAGAAGCCAUAGAGGAACUAUUUUUCUCCAACACCAUGUGCACAAAAACAAAGGUUUGCUUGUAUACCUGGAGUUGGAUUAAUUUUAAGGAGUGCUUCCCUACAAGAAUAAGACAUCUGACUUCUUGAAAUAAUUAUCUGCUAAUUUCAA